rnacentral:rRNA from 1 species
GCGGCCGGAUCGUGGCCACACGAUCUCGCUCGAAUAGCCGCGCGCGUGGGUCAGGUGCCACCUGGUCGGGCCUCCUCACGGCUGGCAUCUGCCUUAUCCCCUCAGCCUCCACACACUUCGUCUUAUCGUCUCCAUCCCCUGCGCAUCGGUCACCGGCUCCGCCGCCAGCUCGCGUCGGCCGCCUCCACCGCCACAUCUCGCACGGCCGCCCCCCGCCCCAACUUGCGCCGGCCACCGUCGACCCAUCUCGCUAGCGCUGAGGCGCCGCUGUCACCUGUCGGUGGCCACCGCGACGCACCGGCCUCGCCAUGAACCCGUCGGGAAGCUGAUGGCUCGACGUCGUGUAGAUGAACCUUGUGACGCAGUGCACAUCCGGGUUGGAUGCUUGAACCUUGUUGAACAACGAGCCCAGGCCAGCGAUGCUGGUUCUGUAGCUUGCCUCUUACGCUGCCUGAGCGAAGAAGAUGAGAGGCGGGUGCUUUGGCUCAUGCUGCAGGCUGAAGCUGGUGGUCGCUUAAUCGAAGCGAGGUGAGUAGGGGGCAACGUGGAACUGGUAGAUAGAUGUAGAUGAUGGCUUAAUCGAAGCUAGGCUCGGUGGUAGAUACAUCUUGAUGUAGUGCUGCUACACGUUGGUAGAUACAGGUAGUAAUGUUGAUUUGCUAGUUGGAUCUACAUUUUUUUGGAUAUAUGCUACUGCUACCAUUGCUGCUAAAUACAUAGAUAUAAUUUGUGACAAAUUGUGGAUUUGCCCACCCAGGCUGGCGGAGUAGCUCAAGCACGGCUGGGGAAUUGCACACUUUCAUCGGCAUUGUCGCACACGUAUGAAGACGGAGUUGCACACUCACGUCCACAUAGUUGAACACACAUGACCAC